rnacentral:rRNA from 1 species
UACGUAGGGGGCUAGCGUUGUCCGGAUUUAUUGGGCGUAAAGAGCGUGUAGGCGGCCAGGUAGGUCUGCUGUGAAAAACUCGAGGCUCAACCUCGAGACGUCGGCGGAAACCAUCUGGCUAGAGUCCGGAAGAGGAGAGUGGAAUUCCUGGUGUAGCGGUGAAAUGCGCAGAUAUCAGGAAGAACACCCGUGGCGAAGGCGGCUCUCUGGGACGGUACUGACGCUGAGACGCGAAAAGCGUGGGGGAGCGAACAGG